rnacentral:lncRNA from 1 species
AUUUAUAAAUGUACAUACAUAAGAUAUGUAUGUAUUUAUAUAUAUAUAUAAAUUAUAUAUGGUAUAUCUGUAUACGCACUUAUAUACACAUAUUUUAUACAUAUACUUUUUUUUUUGAGAGAUUGUCUUGCUCUGUCACCCAGGCUGUAGUGCAAUGGUGCAAUCUCAGCUCACUGCAGCCUCCGCCUCACAGGUUCAAGCAAUUCUCCUACCUCAGCCUCCCGAGUAGCUGGGACUACAGGUGUGCAUCACUGUGCCUGGCUAAUUUUUGUAUUUUUAGUAGAGAUGGGGUUUCACCAUGUUGGCCAGACUGGUCUCUAACUCUUGACUUAAGGGUGAUCCGCCAACCUCAGCCUCCCAAAGUGUUGAGAGUACAGGCGUGAGCCACCAGGUAUUGCCUCUGCAAAACCUUCACUGGCCACCUUGCUUAAGGAGACACACACCUAUGUGUACUAAUCCUUCGUAACUCCCCGGUCUUUUAUUCCUUUAGAGCAAUAAUCAUUAUUUUUCAAGUAAUAAUUUAUGGGU